AACUUUUGUUAUUUAUACUUUUUCCCUUUAUCUUUUAGUUUCAGAUUCAAAGAAGAAGAGAGGUCUGCUAGGGUUUAUAGAUUCAAUUUCAAUCAACGCCAUUUUCUCAUCUUCUUCCUCUGUUGUAUCUCUAGUUCGCCUAUUCUCGCCGCCACAACACGCAUCAGACGCCGCCGCUCCCUGCGUCUGCCGCCGCUCCUCACAGACUCGGAGGAACGAAUUAUCAGUAUCACCACCCUGUUAAAUUUCGCAGAGAAUAAACGAGAACCAGAGCGACCCUUGAUGAUACUGAAAUAGGACAACUUUUCUCAACCCCACUUCUUGUUGAGGACGACAAACCCAGCAAGGAAGUAGAGGAAAGUGUAAAAGUGCUAAAAGAUGUAGCUAAGACGAGAAAGGUAGCAGCAGAGAAGGUUCUGUCUGUACUUUCUGUCAUUGAGAAAGCGAAAAUUGAUCCUUCUGGCUUUCUUGAAACCCUCGGUGGCAAUGAAUCCCCUGGGAGGACAUGAAUGCUAAUUUUCACCGCUGAGAAACAAUUCUGGUGAUGAUGAAAGUGUAGGUACGAAUAGAAGAAAGAAAGACUCAGCAAAGAAAAGAAAGUUUGCUGAUUUCCAAAAGGAAGAACAUGAAGCAAGAAAUAAGGUUCCAAAUUCUGAUAAACUAAGUUUGAAGCGAAUAGACAGCGCGAUAUUUGAAGUUCAUGUAAAGCAAAGGCGGAGCAAGGAAGAAAGGUCUGCAUUGGCUAAAGUAGGAAGGGAGGAUAGAGGAAAAUACCUUC